UGAAUGCAGUAACUGUAAGUCGCUCUGGAUAAGAGCAUCUGCUAAAUGACUAAAA
rfam:Salmo salar isolate Sally breed double haploid chromosome ssa12, whole genome shotgun sequence.